rnacentral:rRNA from 1 species
UCCAGACUCCUACGGGAGGCAGCAGUGGGGAAUAUUGCACAAUGGGGGAAACCCUGAUGCAGCGACGCCGCGUGAGCGAUGAAGUAUUUCGGUAUGUAAAGCUCUAUCAGCAGGGAAGAAAAUGACGGUACCUGACUAAGAAGCCCCGGCUAACUACGUGCCAGCAGCCGCGGUAAUACGUAGGGGGCGAGCGUUAUCCGGAUUCACUGGGUGUAAAGGGAGCGUAGACGGCCAUGCAAGCCAGGGGUGAAAGCCCGGGACCCAACCCCGGGACUGCCCUUGGAACUGCAUGGCUGGAGUGCGGGAGGGGCAGGCGGAAUUCCUGGUGUAGCGGUGAAAUGCGUAGAUAUCAGGAGGAACACCGGCGGCGAAGGCGGCCUGCUGGACCGUGACUGACGUUGAGGCUCGAGAGCGUGGGGAGCAAACAGGAUUAGAUACCCCGGUACC